GACGAACGCUGGCGGCGUGCCUAAUACAUGCAAGUUGAGCGCUGAAGGUUGGUACUUGUACCGACUGGAUGAGCAGCGAACGGGUGAGUAACGCGUGGGGAAUCUGCCUUUGAGCGGGGGACAACAUUUGGAAACGAAUGCUAAUACCGCAUAAAAACUUUAAACACAAGUUUUAAGUUUGAAAGAUGCAAUUGCAUCACUCAAAGAUGAUCCCGCGUUGUAUUAGCUAGUUGGUGAGGUAAAGGCUCACCAAGGCGAUGAUACAUAGCCGACCGGAGAGGGUGAUCGGCCACAUUGGGACUGAGACACGGCCCAAACUCCUACGGGAGGCAGCAGUAGGGAAUCUUCGGCAAUGGACGAAAGUCUGACCGAGCAACGCCGCGUGAGUGAAGAAGGUUUUCGGAUCGUAAAACUCUGUUGGUAGAGAGGAACGUUAGUGAGAGUGGAAAGCUCAUCAAGUGACGGUAACUACCCAGAAAGGGACGGCUAACUACGUGCCAGCCGCCGCCGUAA
rnacentral:rRNA from 1 species